rnacentral:rRNA from 1 species
UACGUAGGGUGCAAGCGUUGUCCGGAAUUAUUGGGCGUAAAGAGCUCGUAGGCGGUUUGUCGCGUCUGCUGUGAAAACUCGGGGCUUAACUCCGGGCCUGCAGUGGGUACGGGCAGACUAGAGUGCGGUAGGGGAGAGUGGAAUUCCUGGUGUAGCGGUGAAAUGCGCAGAUAUCAGGAGGAAAACCUGAGGUGAAGACGGGUUGCUGGGCCGACACUGACGGUGACAGCGCGAAAGCCAGGGGAGCAAACGGG